CCUACGGGCGCUGCAGUGGGGAAUAUUGGACAAUGGGCGAAAGCCUGAUCCAGCCAUGCCGCGUGUGUGAAGAAGGCCUUCGGGUUGUAAAGCACUUUCAGUGGGGAAGAAAGCCUUGGGGCUAAUACCCUCGAGGAAGGACAUCACCCACAGAAGAAGCACCGGCUAACUCCGUGCCAGCAGCCGCGGUAAUACGGAGGGUGCGAGCGUUAAUCGGAAUUACUGGGCGUAAAGCGCGCGUAGGCGGUCUGAUAAGCCGGUUGUGAAAGCCCCGGGCUCAACCUGGGAACGGCAUCCGGAACUGUCAGGCUAGAGUGCAGGAGAGGAAGGUAGAAUUCCCGGUGUAGCGGUGAAAUGCGUAGAGAUCGGGAGGAAUACCAGUGGCGAAGGCGGCCUUCUGGACUGACACUGACGCUGAGGUGCGAAAGCGUGGGUAGCAAACAGGAUUAGAUACCCGUGUAGUC
rnacentral:rRNA from 1 species